GAUGAACGCUGGCGGCGUGCCUAAUACAUGCAAGUCGAGCGAACAGACGAGGAGCUUGCUCCUUUGACGUUAGCGGCGGACGGGUGAGUAACACGUAGGUAACCUACCUAUAAGACUGGGAUAACUUCGGGAAACCGGAGCUAAUACCGGAUAAUAUUUCGAACCGCAUGGUUCGAUAGUGAAAGAUGGCUUUGCUCUCACUUAUAGAUGGACCUGCGCCGUAUUAGCUAGUUGGUAAGGUAACGGCUUACCAAGGCAACGAUACGUAGCCGACCUGAGAGGGUGAUCGGCCACACUGGAACUGAGACACGGUCCAGACUCCUACGGGAGGCAGCAGUAGGGAAUCUUCCGCAAUGGGCGAAAGCCUGACGGAGCAACGCCGCGUGAGUGAUGAAGGUCUUCGGAUCGUAAAACUCUGUUAUUAGGGAAGAACAAACGUGUAAGUAACUGUGCACGUCUUGACGGUACCUAAUCAGAAAGCCACGGCUAACUACGUG
rnacentral:rRNA from 1 species